rnacentral:rRNA from 1 species
UACGGAGGGUGCGAGCGUUGUCCGGAAUUAUUGGGCGUAAAGAGCUCGUAGGCGGUUUGUCGCGUCGGCUGUGAAAACCCGGGGCUCAACCCCGGGCCUGCAGUCGAUACGGGCGGGCUGGAGUUCGGUAGGGGAGACUGGAAUUCCUGGUGUAGCGGUGAAAUGCGCAGAUAUCAGGAGGAACACCGGUGGCGAAGGCGGGUCUCUGGGCCGAUACUGACGCUGAGGAGCGAAAGCGUGGGGAGCGAACAGG